UACGAAGGGUGCAAGCGUUAGUCGGAAUUACUAGGCGUAAAGCGUGCGUAGGUGGUCUAUUAAGUCCGUUGUGAAAGCCCUGGGCUCAACCUGGGAACUGCAGUGGAUACUGAGAAGCUAGAGUGUGUCAGAGGAUGGUGGAAUUCCCGGUGUAGCGGUGAAAUGCGUAGAGAUCGGGAGGAACAUCAGUGGCGAAGGCGGCCAUCUGGGACAACACUGACGCUGAGGCACGAAAGCGUGGGGAGCAAACAGG
rnacentral:rRNA from 1 species